rnacentral:rRNA from 1 species
UACGAAGGGUGCAAGCGUUAAUCGGAAUUACUGGGCGUAAAGGGUGCGUAGGCGGUUCGUUAAGUCUGUUGUGAAAUCCCCGGGCUCAACCUGGGAAUGGCAAUGGAUACUGGCGGGCUAGAGUGUGUCAGAGGAUGGUGGAAUUCCCGGUGUAGCGGUGAAAUGCGUGGAGAUCGGGAGGAACAUCAGUGGCGAAGGCGGCCAUCUGGGCAGUGGCUGACGCUGGGGCGCGACAGCGUGGGGAGCAAACAGG